AGGACCCUGUGGAAAAAUGGAGUGAGAGAUAUUGUAGCAUGAGCACAUAAUCAGGGACACAGUGGAGGGUCAACCCACUUCAUCCACCAUGUGCUGCAUUUUUAGGCCAACGCUGCCCAAAUAAGUUAUCAAAUUGAAGUUCCUUAAAGUUGUUUUGUUGGUGUUGAUUGUAGCGUUAAAACGAUUAGUCAAUUAGUCGAUUAGCUGAUAAAAAAAAAUUAAUUGCCAACAGUUUUGACAGUGUGAUCUACAUAUCAUAUUUUAUAACAAUCAUUUUGGACCCGCCAAAAGUUUUUUUAAAUGAUUAAUUCACUAUCAUAAUAUUUUUUCAGGAAAAGCCAUACUUUUAUUAGCCACCUUUCUAAGAGUUAUGUGGAUGUAUUAUUAUUAUUAUUUUUUGUUUUGUUUUUUGUUUUAAAUGAUCUGUCUAGAUUAAAAAGUUAACAAUAAGACCUUUAAGUUAAGCCUGCUAUUUGUCAGUGUCAUGUAGGGUUAUCCUGCUGUUACAUUGUUAACUUUACUGGAUACACAGUGGCCUUGGCAUGCUAUCAAAUUAAAUGUAUCACAUCUUGGACACGCCCAGCUAGCUGUGACGCGCUGUUCUAAGUAACCAAUGGUAGACCGCGCGUGCUCCGUGGCACUAUGACCAGCCAGCCAAUCACUGAGCACAGAACGCUCCGAACACAUGAGGGAACCAAUCAGAGCUCAGCAGAGACUCUCGUCUUUAAUUGAUGAAUGGAAUCAACCACUUUGCUACAUUGAACAUUCGAGAAUUCAUCUUUAAAAGCAGCUCAUGUAAGUUUAUACAAAGAAACAAAGAUGACUACAUUCAUAAUUAACGAUGGGGCAAGCAAACAGUGUCCGUGCAGCAGAGACGAUGACAACAGGCUCGGUGUUCAUGUUGAUGGUUGAAGUUGGAGUGAUUCAAAGUGUUGUUCCUGUCUGCUCUGGUCUGUCCACACUGCUUCUGCACUGUGAAGCUCUGCUGUUGACACACUGCCUGGCUGUCCUGUCAGACCUGAACUAUAUGCAUGUGUAACUGGUGGGGAAAUACACCACAGCGCCACCAUGUGUUUGGGAGGAGGAGUGCUCAUUCUUUAUACAGUAAGGCUCCCCAUCAAAUAAAAUGUAGGCUAAUUGUCUUCCUAAAUAU